rnacentral:lncRNA from 1 species
UUUCAAUACCUUCAUUUCUGUAGCUAAAGAUAACUGUAAUUUGCUCUUUUAGUGAAGAUACAACAUUUAGAUAUUCUGUCCCUUUGUUAUUUUAUUAUUGCCAUACCAAUAAAAGUAAUAGUACUUAGUGACAAUGCAGUAGUAAAUACAGAUAAAAACAUCAGUACUAAUAUUUUGUGGUCAGGCUUAGUUAUAAGGUGGUCAUCUGGAUGAUCCCAGGAAACGUUUAUGUUAAUUUUUUUAGAUACACAGCAAAACAAAAACAAUUAUAUUGUUAAUAGAGUUCUUUUGUACCAUCUGGAGUAUAUCUUUUCCCCAGCGAUCUGUUGACCUUGGUUUAAAAAAUGUUGGGAUAAACAAUUGGUGAAUGUAUUUUUUACUCUUGAAUAAAAAUGCUGAAAUCUGGUUUGAAGUGAAGUAAACUGAAAAUGAUUAGUUUUUUUCCUCUCUUAACUGAAACCCCUUAGUUGAUAGUUUGCUUCCAAUAUGACUAGCUUCAGGUGUUUAAAUGUUAUUAGGACUUAAAUGUCUCCAUAUCUUACCUCUUCGCUUUCUCUACCCCCAAAUCUUACAGCUUUACUAUUCUCUUUGUUGGCUUCUUAAGUACUCUUUCUGUGCAGAGUGACUCCAAUACUCCUAGUCUUAACUGCUACUAUCUUAUUAUUUUAAAUACCCUUAUUUAAAUAUAAUUUAUAUGACAUACAAUUUGCCCAUUUAAAGUGUACAACUCAGUGGUUUUCAUACAAAGUUCUAUAAGCAUCACCACAAUCAACUUUAGAACAUUUUCAUCACUCCAGAAAGAAACCCUGUACCAAUUAGACCUUGGUAGCCACUACUCUACUCUGUCUCUGUGGAUUUAACAUUUCUGGACAUUUCAUUAUAAAUGAAAUCAUAUAAUAUCUGGUUUGUUUGACUGGCUUUGUUCAGCUAGUCUAAUGUUCUCAACAUUCAUACAUAUUGUACAUGUGUCAAUGUGUCAUUCCUUUUUAUUCCUAAAUAUUAUUGCAUUGUGUAGAUGUAUCACAUUUUAUCUAUUUGUCAAUCUAAGAGUGGUAUUGUUUGGUCUUAUAUCUAUGUGUUUAACUGUCUGUUUCCCAUAGUAGCUGUACCAGUUCACAUUUCUGCCAGCAGUGUAUGAGAGUUCCAAUUUUAUUACAUUCUUUUCAAUGCUUGUCAUUAUCUAUCUUUUGAUUACAGCCAUCCCAGUGAGUAUGAGGUGAUACCUCUUAAUUUUUAAAAUUUUUGAAUUAUGUUAAUCCAUAAUUUUAAAAAAUUAAAAAUAUGGUUACAUUUUACAUGUAUAAAAACCAAAGCAGCCUGUAAUCCAAGUGACUCAGGAGGCUGAGGCAGGAGGAUCACAAGCUCAAAGCCAGCCUCAGCACAGUAGUGAGGCCCUGUCUCUAAAUAAAACAUAAAACGGGCUGGGGAUGUAGCUCAGUAGUAAAGAGCCCCUGGGUUCAAUCUCCAGUACAAAAAAAAAAAAAAAACUGAAGCAAAAACCAAAAACUAAAUAUUAUAAUUAUACAUAAUACCCCCCAAAAUGAAUGGGUUGUGUUCAAGAGGUAUGUCAUUACUUGGAAUUCAUUUUCUCUCCAUAAGAAAAAUAUAUUAAACAUGGGUAUAUUUAUUUACCUGAAUCAGUAGCUGAAAUGGAAAGUUCUUUCCUCCUUUUUGAGAACUCUUAGUUGCAAAUGUAGAGACCCUCUGGAGUUGCUAUUAUUGGAGCUCUAAGAUCCCCCACUGCAUAUUUUUUGCUGAAAAUUCCAUUUCUCUAACAGCUGACUU